rnacentral:lncRNA from 1 species
GAAAAAAUGGAAAGUUGGAAAUUUGGGAAAUUUGGAAAAUUGAAAAUUGGAAAUAGGAAAAAAGGAAAAAUUGGAAAGAGGAAACUAGGCAAUAGGAUUAAAUGACACUUGGAAAAUUGGAAAAUUGGAAAAAGGAAAAAAGGACACUUGGAAAAUAGGAAAUUUGGGUAAUUGGAAAAUUGGAAAAUUUGAAAUUGGACAAAAGGAAACUUGGAAAAUAGGAAAAUAGGAAAGAAAAAAAAAAGGAAACUCUGAAAACAUGAAAAUUG